rnacentral:rRNA from 1 species
UGGGGAAUAUUGCACAAUGGGCGCAAGCCUGAUGCAGCAACGCCGCGUGAACGAUGAAGGUCUUCGGAUCGUAAAGUUCUGUUGCAGGGGAAGAUAAUGACGGUACCAUAGGAGGAAGCCCCGGCUAACUACGUGCCAGCAGCCGCGGUAAUACGUAGGGGGCGAGCGUUGUCCGGAAUUACUGGGCGUAAAGGGUUCGCAGGCGGCAUGGCAAGUCCGAUGUAAAAGGCGAAGGCUCAACCUUCGUAAGCAUCGGAAACUGUCAAGCUUGAGUGAAGGAGAGGCAAGUGGAAUUCCUAGUGUAGCGGUGGAAUGCGUAGAUAUUAGGAGGAAUACCGGUGGCGAAGGCGACUUGCUGGACUUCAACUGACGCUGAGGAACGAAAGCGUGGGUAGCAAACAGG